AGAGGCAGAAGCCUCAAGCUUGCCCAACUGGGCAGAGGGAUCCUCCUCCUGGCAUCACCGUGUGUGUUGUUGAAGGAAGAGCUCUGUCUACAUUGAAAAGAUCCCUGAAGACAAUCUCCAGUGCAGACACAUGGAGAAACAGAUAUAUGAGAAUGAAUGUAAUGCUCUGAACAUUGUGCCUCUGCUUCAUGGGCCAGUUCUGCCAAUCCACUACAAUCUGGGAUUCACGAAAGGAGAUCUUGUCCCUGGACACGGAACUGUAAUUCCCUUCUUUCUUGUGUCAACCCACUGAAGCACUAAUUCUCAAGGAAUGUAAUCUUGCCUGUUUGCUGAUGUAAAAGGUUCCUGGGAUGAAAAAAAAACCUGCAGUUUUUCCUUUACCACCUUGCAGUGGGAAGCAGACUUUGCACAGUAAGUUGAUUUAUUAUUAGAACCAGCGAAAUCCAUUGAAUUCCUUCACGAGGCUGAAAUAAAUCUGUUUUGUUUGUAA